CAGAACAGGUUGCAAUUUAUCGGAAAAAUAACAGGACCAUUCAGUCGGCUGAUCGGUGUUAUUUGGACGCUUUGUAAACAAUUUUACGCCGAUAAAAUGUAAAGAGGUUGCAGGAAAAAACAUUGUUGCAGCACAAACAAACAAAUUAGUGGGAUAUUUUGCUGUUCAACAAUGACAGUUAUCUGUUUGUGACGAUUUAGUGUCACCAAUACUGGAUGACAUCUUUUGGGAGAAUGCAUAUUGCGGUGACCACAUCGUUCGGGAUAUUGUGGAUGAACUGAUCUCAGACUGCAUUAAAAGUGAAAAAGAAAACAACAAGAACGAGAUAUCUAACUGUGUUUGGUAUGAAAGUGACAACACCAGUGUGAUGAUUGGUAAGAACUACAGCGUCCUGUCCAGGGUUUGAGAAAAAAUGCCAACAUCGUCAGCUUAAGUUGUAUGUGCCACCUUGCUAACUUGUGUGCUAAAGCUUGGAUCCAAGCAUCAUUACCAACAGAAGACUUCCUUGUUGACAUCUUCUGUCAUUUCCAUCACAGUGCGAAAAGACGAAGCGUGCACGAAGAUACAAGAGAACCCUGGUCGAGCCAAGAGGUGUGCCAACAGACUUUCUGAUGAAGAGAUCUUUUUACACUACCAGUUUCUUGGGUUCAUCAUGUCAGUGUUAGAUGAGUUCAACACCACCUUUCAGUUACUUCUGUAUCCAUGAUAACCAUCAUGACUGUACCCUGUCCGCUGAGGCCAUUUUACACCUACGCAAGUCAUCAUGGGUAGUAAUGACAUUAAGAAGGUAGACUACAAUAAUCCAGACAACUAACGCAGUGACGAGACAAUUGCCAUUGGUUUGAAAACUAGAAAGUUCUUGCGUACCCAUUGUGAAGAAGUUGAUCAGCAGAUAGUCACUGAGUUCUUUAGUAACAAUAGAAAUUUCUACAUGUCUGUUGUUGAGAAGAUGUUGAAGAAGUUCCCACUAAAUGACCCAACGCUGUUGGCCCUUGGUUUUUUUCUCACCUGAUUCCACAGACAACUUAACAGCAGAGCAAAUUGUAUGUCUAUCAGAGAGAGUACUGCCAGCGAUUGACAGAGAGAAACUUACAGAAGAAUCCGAAGAGUACUUAUUUACGCCUACCGGAGACCUUCCAACAUUUAACAGAGAAGAAACACAAGAUGUGUUCUGGGUUGAAAUGGCAGAAAGAAAACUUCCAUAUGGCAACCCACAAUAUAAACUGUUGAGUGAUUUGGACCUUGUGACACUGACUUUACCAAAUUCAAAUUCAUCAACUGAAAGACUUUUCAGCAUGUUAAGAAAAUUACAGAUAUAUCACAGAGAGGAAACCUAGUCUUAGAUUCUGUACAUGUCAGUGAAAAUAAACAGUAUAAAUGACUGCCACACUUUCAGGCCAACAAAAGAAUUAAUUCACCCUUACCAUGCUGGACAUGAUUGGUUCUGCCUUUGCAACCAGUGCAGAUCAUGGUCAGCCUGCAUGUCCAUGCAGUCUGAUCAUGAUCUGCACUGUUCGCCAUUCAGUCAGUAUAUUUUUGGCAAGCACCCCUUUUAACAGUUAAUGGUACUGUCCAAAUUGGAAGUUGGACAAGUUCAUUAUAGUAAUUCAGCAGGGUAAGGGUAAAGAGUGUAAAAAGUGCAUGUAAUUAACCUACAAUGUUAAAGACUGGAAGAAGAGAAAUGUUCUGAGAACUCUGAGACUGUAAUCUCAAUAAUCUGAACUGUGAAUUGUACUAGAGUAUAUUUAUUGACGUUUUAAUUUUAUCAGCAAAAAUGUCCAUCGCUAGAUAAAUUCUGUUGUAUCUUA